ensembl:lncRNA
CAUGUAUAAUUUAUAAUUUUCUAGAUAUCAUAUUAAAAAAGUAAAAAGAAACAGAUUGGCCAUUUGGAACCUCUUAACAUUUCGGACACGACUGAAGCGACUUAGCAGCAGCAGCAGCAGCAGCAACGUUUGUCCAUGUGUCCCUUCAAGAUGUGCUCAUCCCUUUUUGGAGCCCUUCCUUUUCUUUUGGGACUACAAAAUAUCCCAGUCAUCCAUUCAUCAUUGGGACAGAGGUCACUGUUCCAGUCAGGCAACAUAGCAUCUUGCCUGGGGUUUGCAGAGAAAAGCCAGACCAGGAGGAGCAGAGUCAGCAGGACUCAACUACCAACCAUGACAGGGGAAGUGAGCAGCUUCCCCCACAGCUGUGCGUCUCGUGUUGUCUCUGUAAACCUCAAAGUUGGCAUUGGGAAAGCUUUCUUUAAGAUGACAGACUGCUCUUUUCCUUUGUCUCGCCUGUGUUUCCUGGCCCAUGUCUGCAUCAGUUUUGCCCUCAGUUUGAGGUGGUGGCGGCAUGACCCUGCCAUACAGUGGAACCACUCAGUCACCACCAAACUGUCACUCAGUUCCUGGCAGAAAAGACUUCACACCCAUAAUCCUGUAAUCUUUUCCUCCAACAAGGACUCCAUUUCACUUGAAGAGGUUGAAAUGAAUAGCUUUUGUCAUUUGGAAUUUGAGCACAUC